rnacentral:rRNA from 1 species
CCUACGGGAGGCAGCAGUGGGGGAUAUUGCACAAUGGGGGGAACCCUGAUGCAGCGAAGUCGCGUGAGCGAUGGAGUACCUCCGUAUUUAAAGCUUCGUCAGCAGGGAAGAAAAUGACGGUACCUGACCAAGAAGCCCCGGCUAAAUACGUGCCAGCAGCCGCGGGAACAUGUCUGGGGCAAGCGUUAUUCGGAUUUACGGGGGGUAUAGGGAGGGUAGGUGGGAGGGCAAGCCUGGUGGGAAAGCCCGGGGCUCAACCCCUGGAGUGCAGUUGGAACUGCCCUGCUGGAGUGCGGGAGGGGCAGGCGGAAUGCGUGGUGUAGCGGUGAAAUGCAUAGAUAUUAGGAAGAACACCAGUGGCGAAGGCAGCCUGCUGGACGGUGACUGACGCUGAGGCACGAAAGCGUGGGGAGCGAACAGGAUUAGAUACCCGGGUAGUC